UAGGGAAUCUUCCACAAUGGACGCAAGUCUGAUGGAGCAACGCCGCGUGAGUGAAGAAGGUUUUCGGAUCGUAAAGCUCUGUUGUUGGUGAAGAAGGAUAGAGGCAGUAACUGGUCUUUAUUUGACGGUAAUCAACCAGAAAGUCACGGCUAACUACGUGCCAGCAGCCGCGGUAAUACGUAGGUGGCAAGCGUUGUCCGGAUUUAUUGGGCGUAAAGCGAGCGCAGGCGGAAUGAUAAGUCUGAUGUGAAAGCCCACGGCUCAACCGUGGAACUGCAUCGGAAACUGUCAUUCUUGAGUGCAGAAGAGGAGAGUGGAAUUCCAUGUGUAGCGGUGGAAUGCGUAGAUAUAUGGAAGAACACCAGUGGCGAAGGCGGCUCUCUGGUCUGCAACUGACGCUGAGGCUCGAAAGCAUGGGUAGCGAACAGGA
rnacentral:rRNA from 2 species